rnacentral:rRNA from 1 species
GACGAACGCUGGCGGCGUGCUUAACACAUGCCAGUCGAACGGAAAGGCCCUGCUUUUGUGGCGUUCUCGUUUGGCGAACGGGUGAGUAACACGUGAGUAACCUGCCCUUGACUUUGGGAUAACUUCAGGGAACUGGGUCUAAUACCGGAGAGAAUCUCCUGCUGCAUGGUGGUGGUUGGAAAGAUUCGGCGUUUGGGGAUGGACUCGCUGCUUAUCAGCUUGUUUGUGAGGUAGGUGCUUACCACGGUUUUGACGGGUAGGCGGCCUGAGAGGGGUACCGGCCACAUUGGGACUGAGGUACGGACCAGAAUGCUAUGGGACGCAGCAGUGGGGAAUAUUGCACAAUGGGGGGAAGCGUGAUGCAGCAACGCCGCGUGCGGGAUGCCGGCCUUUGGGUUGUAAACCGAUUUCGAAUGUGACGAAGCGUGAGUGACGGUAAUGGGUAAAGAAGCAACGGCUAACUACGUG